UACGGAGGGUGCAAGCGUUGUCCGGAAUCACUGGGCGGAAAGGGCGCGUAGGCGGCUCAUGAAGGCUGUGGUGAAAGUCCGGGGCUCAACCUCGGAUCGGCCGUGGCGACUCGUGGGCUGGAGCACUGUAGAGGCGGGUGGAAUUCCGGGUGUAGCGGUGGAAUGCGUAGAGAUCCGGAGGAACACCAACGGCGUAGGCAGCGCCCUAGACGAGACCUGACGCUCAGGCACGAAAGCGCGGGGAGCGAACAGG
rnacentral:rRNA from 1 species